UAAAAAAAGGUAAGCUACUAAGAGCGAAUGGUGGAUGCCUUGACUGGUAAAGGCGAUGAAGGACGUACUAGACUGCGAUAAGCUACGGGGAGCUGUCAAGAAGCUUUGAUCCGUAGAUUUCCGAAUGGGGCAACCCAAUGUAUAGAGAUAUACAUUACCUAUAUAGGAGCGAACGAGGGGAAUUGAAACAUCUUAGUACCCUCAGGAAAAGAAAUCAAUAGAGAUUGCGUCAGUAGCGGCGAGCGAAAGCGCAAGAGGGCAAACCCAGUGCUUGCACUGGGGGUUGUAGGACUGCAAUGUGCAAGAGCUGAGUUUAGCAGAACAUUCUGGAAAGUAUAGCCAUAGAGGGUGAUAGUCCCGUAUGCGAAAAACAAAGCUUAGCUAGCAGUAUCCUGAGUAGGGCGGGACACGAGGAAUCCUGUCUGAAUCCGGGUCGACCACGAUCCAACCCUAAAUACUAAUACCAGAUCGAUAGUGCACAAGUACCGUGAGGGAAAGGUGAAAAGAACUGAGGUGAUCAGAGUGAAAUAGAACCUGAAACCAUUUGCUUACAAUCAUUCAGAGCACUAUGUAGCAAUACAGUGUGAUGGACUGCCUUUUGCAUAAUGAGCCUGCGAGUUGUGGUGUCUGGCAAGGUUAAGCAAACGCGAAGCCGUAGCGAAAGCGAGUCUGAAUAGGGCGCUUAGUCAGAUGCUGCAGACCCGAAACGAAGUGAUCUAUCCAUGAGCAAGUUGAAGCUAGUGUAAGAACUAGUGGAGGACUGAACCCAUAGGCGUUGAAAAGCCCCGGGAUGACUUGUGGAUAGGGGUGAAAGGCCAAUCAAACUUCGUGAUAGCUGGUUCUCUCCGAAAUAUAUUUAGGUAUAGCGUUGUGUCGUAAUAUAAGGGGGUAGAGCACUGAAUGGGCUAGGGCAUACACCAAUGUACCAAACCCUAUCAAACUCCGAAUACCUUAUAUGUAAUCACAGCAGUCAGGCGGCGAGUGAUAAAAUCCGUCGUCAAGAGGGAAACAACCCAGACUACCAGCUAAGGUCCCUAAAUCUUACUUAAGUGGAAAACGAUGUGAAGUUACUUAAACAACCAGGAGGUUGGCUUAGAAGCAGCCAUCCUUUAAAGAAAGCGUAAUAGCUCACUGGUCUAGUGAUUUUGCGCGGAAAAUAUAACGGGGCUAAAGUAAGUACCGAAGCUGUAGACUUGCGCACAACUUAGAUUAUUUAAGUUUAGAAUAUGAGAAACUAAGUUAUGUUUAGUUAUAUUUUUACUGAUUUUUAUAGAGUAAAGAUAGAAAUAAAACUUAGUAAAAUCAGUAAAAAUAUUCUUAGGCUAAAGUUAAGUAGUUUAAGUUGUGUGCAAGUGGUAGGAGAGCGUUCUAUUUGCGUCGAAGGUAUACCGGUAAGGAGUGCUGGAGCGAAUAGAAGUGAGCAUGCAGGCAUGAGUAGCGAUAAUUAAUGUGAGAAUCAUUAACGCCGUAAACCCAAGGUUUCCUACGCGAUGCUCGUCAUCGUAGGGUUAGUCGGGUCCUAAGUCGAGUCCGAAAGGGGUAGACGAUGGCAAAUUGGUUAAUAUUCCAAUACCAACAUUAGUGUGCGAUGGAAGGACGCUUAGGGCUAAGGGGGCUAGCGGAUGGAAGUGCUAGUCUAAGGUCGUAGGAGGUUAUACAGGCAAAUCCGUAUAACAAUACUCCGAGAACUGAAAGGCUUUUUGAAGUCUUCGGAUGGAUAGAAGAACCCCUGAUGCCGUCGAGCCAAGAAAAGUUUCUAAGUUUAGCUAAUGUUGCCCGUACCGUAAACCGACACAGGUGGGUGGGAUGAGUAUUCUAAGGCGCGUGGAAGAACUCUCUUUAAGGAACUCUGCAAAAUAGCACCGUAUCUUCGGUAUAAGGUGUGGUUAGCUUUGU
rnacentral:rRNA from 1 species